rnacentral:rRNA from 1 species
AUAGAAUUAUUGCUGCGGUUAAAAAGCUCGUAGUUGGAUCUGUGCCAUAGGACGUGGUCCACCUUCUGGGUGCGUACUAUGUUCCUAGGCUUUUUGCUGGUUUUCCCGUCGUAGCCUUCAUUGGUUGCGGCGGGUGGCUGGCGAGUUUACUUUGAGAAAAUCAGAGUGCUCAACACAGGCGUAUCGCUUGAAUGAUUGUGCAUGGAAUAAUAGAAAAGGAUUUCGGUCCUCUUUUAUUGGUUUUGUGGACUGAGAUAAUGGUUAACAGGGACCAACGGGGGCAUUCGUAUCGCUGCGUGAGAGGUGAAAUUCUUGGACCGUAGCAAGACGCCCUACUG